rnacentral:tRNA from 1 species
GCCACUUUAGCUCAGUUGGUAGAGCAACUGAUUUGUAAUCAGUAGGUCGCUGGUUCGAAUCCGGCAAGUGGCU